AUUGAACGCUGGCGGCAGGCUUAACACAUGCAAGUCGAACGGAACCUUCGGGUUUAGUGGCGAACGGGUGAGUAACACCUAGGAAUCUGCCUAUUAGUGGGGGAUAACGGCUCGAAAGGGUCGCUAAUACCGCAUACGUCCUACGGGAGAAAGAGGGGGAUCUUCGGACCUCUUGCUAAUAGAUGAGCCUAGGCCGGAUUAGCUAGUUGGUAGGGUAAAGGCCUACCAAGGCGACGAUCCGUAGCUGGUCUGAGAGGAUGAUCAGCCACACUGGAACUGAGACACGGUCCAGACUCCUACGGGAGGCAGCAGUGGGGAAUAUUGGACAAUGGGGGCAACCCUGAUCCAGCCAUGCCGCGUGUGUGAAGAAGGCCUCGGUUGUAAAGCACUUUAAGACGAGGAGGAAGGUACUUUGAACUAAUAUUUACUAAAGAAUUAGA
rnacentral:rRNA from 1 species